UACAGAAGCCUCAAGCGUUACCCGGAAUCACUGGGCGUAAAGGAUGCGUAGGCGGUUAUAUUAGUCGGGUGUUAAAUCCUGGGGCUCAACCCCAGAAUCGCAUUCGAAACGGUAUAACUAGGAGAAGUGAGAGGUGUGCGGAACUCAAGGUGUAGGGGUGAAAUCCGUUGAUAUCUUGGGGAACACCAAAAGCGAAGGCAGCACACUGGCACUCUCUCGACGCUGAGGCAUGAAAGCUAGGGUAGCGAAUGGG
rnacentral:misc_RNA from 1 species